GCCGCUUGUUGAAGAGAAGGUGGCUCUGCCCGGAUUUGUACAGACUGGGAUGGCGAAGGCUGUUCUGGUCGUUAACAUCCUGAGGGGACAAAAGCGAGGAAACGCGGCGGUAAUAAUAGGCUGAAUUGUCACGUCAGAUGAUUUGAGUUCACCCACCUGUGCGGAAAAACCACAGAAGAAGCCGUACCAGAAGUGAACCAGGGUAAAGGCAAAGUUUUUGUAGAAGAAGUAACUUAAAAAACUGGACAUGCGGAAAUAGGACCAGCGUCCGUGUACCAGCAGGAGCCUCUGCAGACACCGAAACUGAGCAAAUGAGAAGUCUGAGGCCAGAACCGCCUGCAUUCCCUCCUGACCACUGAUGCCAACACCGAUGUGAGAAGCUGGGAAGAAGAGCACAGGAUUAGGAUCUGGUCAUGAUGGAAGGACUUUAACUAUGAAAGACACCUAAAUAUCUGUUAAUCAAAUGAUGAGAACCAGAUUAUGAGAACCAUGCAAAACUACAAAAUAAAGUAGGAUUAUAUAAAUUA